UGGAAUACAUGAUUACAACGUUGUUAUUUUGCACCCCAUAGCUGUCACUGUAUUUUAAGGUUUUAUUACAUAGGCUGACAUAACUAUGUAUAUUUAUUCAGUUAACCCUUGUAAUUUGUUAUGGGGUUGCCCUUGUCAUACCACAGUUAACAUGGAAGCUUUGCUCAAACUUAAGAAACAAUGCUUGAAAGUGCUUUAAAAUCCAUGACUCGGAUAUACAAACAGGUACUUAGUAGAGUUGACAAAAGCACAUGAAGAAGUUAGUUUGCCUCCUUUUGAGGUCACUGCUAUGGGGUGGGGAGCUGACAAUGGACAUGCUCCAUACAUGCCACACGUGCCCAUUGCUGUGACUGGGGCAGGGAACUUAGACUGGGCAUCUCUCACUACCUGCCACAGCCACAGUGCUGAGAGUGGUGGAGGAGUGAGGUCAAUCAUUGAGAUCAUAGAAUCUUAGAAGAUCAGGGUUGGAAGGAACCUCAGGAGGUCAUCUAGUCCAACCCCCUGCUUAAAGCAGGACCAAUCCCCAAUUUUUGCCCCAGAUUCCUAAAUGGCCCCUUCAAGGAUUGAACUCGCAUCCCUGGGUUUAGUAGGCCAAUGCUCAAACCACUGAGCUAUCCCUCCCGAUGCUCAUCUAUUCUAAAAAACACAAGUCCAGGGCCUCAUUAACACCCUUGCUGUGAGAACAAUACAAAAGAGACACAAAACUGACAAGCAGUAGCACCUGCCAUAUUUCCAAUCAAUAUCCCUUCAAAUAUAUUGAAUUUCCAAAAGUCAAGAAUGCUUCAUCUAGGCUACAGCCAUUCAUCAGGGGUUGUACCUUCAGAUCAUUUGGACUUAAGUUCAUAAGUCACAUAAAUGCUUUUGAAAAUCUCUCUGAGAAACCUCAAAUAUGGGGUUAGGAGCCUAAAUUUAGGCCCCUCUUUUUGAAAAAGUUGGACUAUGUAUAUAGAAAACUUGCACUUUAACAAAGUUAUAGUGUGAAAGUCUGUUUAGCUUUUCAUUGUUAACACUGAUGCAUUCAUGAAGUUUUUCAGCAGUUAAUUAACCUAAGCGUGCAGAAAAAAAUGGAAGUUUACAAAACCAGUUUUAUUUCUUAACCUCCAUUUGAACUAAAAUGUCCUCAUCUUACUUACAAAGCUGUUUUGCAAGACAAUCCCCCCUACCAAACAGACAGAAGAUAGGAGAAGGGAAAAGGAAAAGAGACUAAAUUGUCUUUUUGGUUCAGAGGAAGGUGAAUAUGAUUGUUGAGAGUUCCAAGAUGGAGUUGUGGACCUCUCUUUGUAUAGACAAGAUCUCUUGAUCUAUUUGAGGUCAGUUUGGAAAAGCUGGAGUGGGUGUCCAGGACCAUUGCUGGACAAAGUACCCUCUCACAGUGAUAGGUGCCAGUGUCUGAUCAGACAAAAUCAAAUCUAGGACCGGUUAUGGUAUAUUGAUAAAAUCUCAAAAACUUCAUUCUCUGUGAUUCGUUAGGCUUGAUACCAAUUACCUGGAGUCUUU